rnacentral:rRNA from 1 species
GUUGGCUUAGAAGCAGCCAUCCUUCAAAGAAAGCGUAAUAGCUCACUGGUCGAGUCCUUCUGCGCGGAAGAUGUAACGGGGCUAAGCUGUUAACCGAAGCCGCGGAUGCACUGAUUAUUCAGUGCGUGGUAGGGGAGCGUUCUGUAAGUCUGCGAAGGCGGUUCGAGAGGACUGCUGGAGAUAUCAGAAGUGCGAAUGCUGACAUGAGUAACGUUAAAGCAGGUGAAAAGCCUGCUCGCCGUAAGCCCAAGGAUUCCUGCUCUACGUUCAUCGGAGCAGGGUGAGUCGGCUCCUAAGGUCAGGCCGAAAGGCGUAGCCGAUGGGAAUCAGGUUAAUAUUCCUGAACCUGCGUCAGAUGCGAUGGGGGGACGGAGCAUGAAAGAUCAUCCGGGUGUUGGAUGUCCCGGUUGACGAGCGUAGGAGGUCUGCAGGCAAAUCCGCAGACGCAUCUCCAAGGCAAAGACACGUGCCGCCACGGCGGCGAAGUGAUCGGAAGUGCUUCCAAGAAAAGCCUCUAAGCACCAGUCUGGCGCGGACCGUACCGCAAACCGACACUGGUGGGCGAGCUGAAUAUGCUCAGGCGCUUGAGAGAACUCGGGAGAAGGAACUCGGCAAAUUGACACCGUAACUUCGGAAGAAGGUGUGCCGUAGUAGCGUGAGAGGAGAGACACCUUGAGCGUGAAUCGGUCUCAGAGAAUAGGUGGCUGCGACUGUUUAUUAAAAACACAGCACUCUGCAAAGUCGAAAGACGACGUAUAGGGUGUGAUGCCUGCCCGGUGCUGGAAGAUUAAUUGAUGGGGUGAGAGCCCUUGAUCGAAGUCCCAGUAAACGGCGGCCGUAACUAUAACGGUCCUAAGGUAGCGAAAUUCCUUGUCGGGUAAGUUCCGACCUGCACGAAUGGCAUAACGAUGGCCACACUGUCUCCUCCCGAGACUCAGUGAAGUUGAAAUGUUUGUGAUGAUGCAAUCUACCCGCGGCUAGACGGAAAGACCCCAUGAACCUUUACUGCAGCUUUGCAUUGAACUGUGAACCGAUUUGUGUAGGAUAGGUGGGAGGCAGAGAAGAGGCCACGCCAGUGGUCUUGGAGCCGACCUUGAAAUACCACCCUGAUUUGUUUGCGGUUCUAACCACGGACAGUGAUCCUGUCUUGGGACCGUGCAUGGUAGGCAGUUUGACUGGGGCGGUCUCCUCCUAAAGGGUAACGGAGGAGUACGAAGGUACGCUAGGUACGGUCGGAAAUCGUGCUGAUAGUGCAAUGGCAAAAGCGUGCUUGACUGCGAGAGCAACAACUCGAGCAGAUGCGAAAGCAGGUCAUAGUGAUCCGGUGGCUCUGAAUGGAAGGGCCAUCGCUCAACGGAUAAAAGGUACUCUGGGGAUAACAGGCUGAUA